GCCUGGUGUGCUCUUAUUCUGAA
rnacentral:miRNA from 1 species